GGUUACCUUGUUACGACUUCACCCCAGUCAUGAAACACAAACUGGUAAUCGUCCUCCCGAAGGUUAGACUAACUACUUCUUUUGCAUCCCACUCCCAUGGUGUGACGGGCGGUGUGUACAAGGCCCGGGAACGUAUUCACCGCAGUAUUCUGACCUGCGAUUACUAGCGAUUCCGACUUCAUGGAGUCGAGUUGCACACUCCAAUCCGGACUACCACAUUCUUUAUUGGGUCCGGUCCACAUCACGGUCUCGCUUCCCUCUGUCAAUGCCAUUG
rnacentral:rRNA from 2 species